ACAUUACACAAAUAUGAAGGCGGGCUGGAACCUCUCGGGGUUACAGCCUUGCUGAAUUAUUCACCCUUGUCUUUUGCGUACUUCUUGUUUCCUUGGUGGGUUCGCCCACCACUAGGACAAACAUAAACCUUUUGUAAUUGCAAUCAGCGUCAGUAACAAAUUAAUAAUUACAACUUUCAACAACGGAUCUCUUGGUUCUGGCAUCGAUGAAGAACGCAGCGAAAUGCGAUAAGUAGUGUGAAUUGCAGAAUUCAGUGAAUCAUCGAAUCUUUGAACGCACAUUGCGCCCUUUGGUAUUCCAAAGGGCAUGCCUGUUCGAGCGUCAUUUGUACCCUCAAGCUUUGCUUGGUGUUGGGCGUCUUGUCUCUAGCUUUGCUGGAGACUCGCCUUAAAGUAAUUGGCAGCCGGCCUACUGGUUUCGGAGCGCAGCACAAGUCGCACUCUCUAUCAGCAAAGGUCUAGCAUCCAUUAAGCCUUUUUUUCAACUUUUGACCUCGGAUCAGGUAGGGAUACCCGCUGAACUUAAGCAUAUCAAUAAGCGGAGGAAAAAAACC
rnacentral:sRNA from 1 species